rnacentral:lncRNA from 1 species
GUCUUGACAUUUUUUUAUCAAUUGUUUUGUUGAGGGGGAGCUUCAAUUUAAGGGGAGUCUCUACCACUAGGGAUCCUUUUUUCUUAUGAUAAAAAAGGGAGAACAAAUCCUAACAACAUAAAUGUGUUAGUAUUGUUUAAAGCUAAUAUUAUUAUGUCUUGUUUACUUUAAAAUCAAUGCAGGAUAAACAAAAGUGCUUUUAACACAUGAUUUUUUUAUCAUCAUAAAAAAGAGGGAGAUUAUUACUGUUAAAUAUGAUGAAACCUAUAUGGGUGUUGCUCCCUCCACCUCUCCAAUUUCUCCCUGUAGCUCCCCAAAUUUUUCUAUUUUACUAAAAUGGCCUUUGUUAGAAACGAUUUUGCUUUUACCUUUUAAUUUUUACUUUUUUUAACCUUAAUUCCCUUUCCCUGUUAUUGCAACCGCGACACCCCCACCCCCGUUCAACAGAUUUCUUCUUCUUCCCUCUUUCUCUUACCUCUUCUUCCACCCCCACACUUUUUAAACCCCUAAUCCCCUUUGCCUCAUACUGCAACACCCCACCCACCACCACACUUUUGGAUUUUUUCUUCUUCUCUCUUUCUCUUGCAUCUCUUCAUCUCUUCUUUAAGUUC